CGUACAACACACCAGCGUACAACACACCAGUGUACAACACUCCACUGUACAACACUCCACUGUACAACACUCCAGUGUACAA